CGGCACAGUGUUGCUUUUCAGCCGUUCAAGAAGAAUUGGUUGAAAACGCCAAAGUAGGACGGAGGAAUAGAGGAUUUGUGUGUGUUGUUGCUGAGGUUGGAGCCACCAGUGUGUGUGUGUUGUUGCUGAGGUUGGAGUCACCAGUGUGUGUGUGUUGUUGCUGAGGUUGGAACCACCAGUGUGUGUGUGUGUUGUUGCUGAGGUUGGAGCCACCAGUGUGUGUGUGUUGUUGCUGAGGUUGGAGCCACCAGUGUGUGUGUGUUGUUGCUGAGGUUGGAGCCACCAGUGUGUGUGUGUUGUUGCUGAGGUUGGAACCACCAGUGUGUGUUGUUGCUGAGGUUGGAGACACCAGUGUGUGUGUGUUGUUGCUGAGGUUGGAGCCACCAGUGUGUGUGUGUUGUUGCUGAGGUUGGAGCCACCAGUGUGUGUGUGUUGUUGCUGAGGUUGGAGCCACCAGUGUGUGUUGUUGCUGAGGUUGGAGCCACCAGUGUGUGUGUGUUGUUGCUGAGGUUGGAGACACCAGUGUGUGUGUGUUGUUGCUGAGGUUGGAACCACCAGUGUGUGUGUGUGUUGUUGCUGAGGUUGGAGUCACCAGUGUGUGUUGUUGCUGAGGUUGGAACCACCAGUGUGUGUUGUUGCUGAGGUUGGAGACACCAGUGUGUGUGUGUGUUGUUGCUGAGGUUGGAACCACCAGUGUGUGUGUGUGUUGUUGCUGAGGUUGGAACCACCAGUGUGUGUUGUUGCUGAGGUUGGAGACACCAGUGUGUGUGUGUGUUGUUGCUGAGGUUGGAGCCACCAGUGUGUGUGUGUGGUGUUGCUGAGGUUGGAACCACCAGUGUGUGUUGUUGCUGAGGUUGGAGACACCAGUGUGUGUGUGUUGUUGCUGAGGUUGGAGCCACCAGUGUGUGUGUGUGUUGUUGCUGAGGUUGGAACCACCAGUGUGUGUGUGUUGUUGCUGAGGUUGGAGACACCAGUGUGUGUUGUUGCUGAGGUUGGAACCACCAGUGUGUGUGUGUUGUUGCUGAGGUUGGAGCCACCAGUGUGUGUGUUGUUGCUGAGGUUGGAACCACCAGUGUGUGUUGUUGCUGAGGUUGGAACCACCAGUGUGUGUGUGUUGUUGCUGAGGUUGGAGCCACCAGUGUGUGUGUGUUGUUGCUGAGGUUGGAGCCACCAGUGUGUGUGUGUUGUUGCUGAGGUUGGAGACACCAGUGUGUGUGUGUUGUUGCUGAGGUUGGAGCCACCAGUGUGUGUUGUUGCUGAGGUUGGAACCAGCAGUGUGUGUGUGUUGUUGCUGAGGUUGGAGCCACCAGUGUGUGUGUGUUGUUGCUGAGGUUGGAGCCACCAGUGUGUGUGUGUUGUUGCUGAGGUUGGAACCACCAGUGUGUGUGUGUUGUUGCUGAGGUUGGAGACACCAGUGUGUGUGUUGUUGCUGAGGUUGGAGCCACCAGUGUGUGUUGUUGCUGAGGUUGGAACCACCUGUGUGUGUGUGUUGUUGCUGAGGUUGGAACCACCAGUGUGUGUGUGUUGUUGCUGAGGUUGGAACCACCAGUGUGUGUGUGUUGUUGCUGAGGUUGGAACCACCAGUGUGUGUUGUUGCUGAGGUUGGAGACACCAGUGUGUGUGUGUUGUUGCUGAGGUUGGAACCACCAGUGUGUGUGUGUUGUUGCUGAGGUUGGAGCCACCAGUGUGUGUUGUUGCUCAGGUUGGAGCCACCAGUGUGUGUGUGUUGUUGCUGAGGUUGGAGUCACCAGUGUGUGUUGUUGCUGAGGUUGGAGACACCAGUGUGUGUGUGUGUUGUUGCUGAGGUUGGAACCAGCAGUGUGUGUGUGUUGUUGCUGAGGUUGGAGUCACCAGUGUGUGUGUGUGUGUGUUGUUGCUGAGGUUGGAGCCACCAGUGUGUGUGUGUUGUUACUGAGGUCGGAGCCACCAGUGUGUGUUGUUGCUGAGGUUGGAACCACCAGUGUGUGUGUGUUGUUGCUGAGGUUGGAGGCACCAGUGUGUGUGUGUUGUUGCUGAGGUUGGAGACACCAGUGUGUGUGUGUUGUUGCUGAGGUUGGAGCCACCAGUGUGUGUUGUUGCUGAGGUUGGAACCAGCAGUGUGUGUGUGUUGUUGCUGAGGUUGGAGCCACCAGUGUGUGUGUGUUGUUGCUGAGGUUGGAGCCACCAGUGUGUGUGUGUUGUUGCUGAGGUUGGAACCACCAGUGUGUGUGUGUUGUUGCUGAGGUUGGAGACACCAGUGUGUGUGUUGUUGCUGAGUUUGGAGCUGCCAGUGUGUGUUGUUGCUGAGGUUGGAACCACCAGUGUGUGUGUGUUGUUGCUGAGGUUGGAGCCACCAGUGUGUGUGUGUUGUUGCUGAGGUUGGAGCCACCAGUGUGUGUGUGUUGUUGCUGAGGUUGGAGACACCAGUGUGUGUGUGUGUUGUUGCUGAGGUUGGAACCACCAGUGUGUGUGUGUUGUUGCUGAGGUUGGAGCCACCAGUGUGUGUGUG